GAAUCAUUCAGCUCAUCAAACCUC
rnacentral:siRNA from 1 species